rnacentral:rRNA from 1 species
UACAGAGGGGGCGAGCGUUGUUCGGAAUUACUGGGCGUAAAGGGCGCGUAGGCGGCCCGCUAAGUCGAACGUGAAAUCCCCUGGCUCAACCAGGGAACUGCGUCUGAUACUGGACGGCUUGAGUUCGGGAGAGGGAAGUGGAAUUCCAGGUGUAGCGGUGAAAUGCGUAGAUAUCUGGAGGAACACCGGUGGCGAAGGCGGCUUCCUGGACCGACACUGACGCUGAGGCGCGAAAGCUAGGGGAGCAAACGGG